AGGGUUUGAUCCUGGCUCAGAACGAACGUUGGCGGCGUGGAUCAGGCAUGCAAGUCGAACGAAUCCCACCUGGGUAACUGGGUGGGGGAAGUGGCGAAAGGGGCAGUAAGGCAUGGGUAACUUGCCCCGGACUUCGGGAUAGCCUUCCUAACGGAUGGGUAAUACCGAAUGCCGUAGCGUGGGGGCAUCCUCGUGCUACGAAAGCUCCGGCGGUCCGGGAGGGGCUCAUGUGGUAUUAUGCUAGUUGGUGGGGUGAAGGCCCACCAAGGCUGAGAUGCCUAGCGGGUGUGAGAGCACGACCCGCGCCACUGGCACUGUGACACUGGCCAGACUCCUACGGGAGGCUGCAGUCGAGGAUCUUCGGCAAUGGGCGAAAGCCUGACCGAGCGACGCCGCGUGUGCGAUGAAGGCCUUCGGGUUGUAAAGCACUGUCGAGGGGGAGAAAAGGCAACCUGAUCGACCCCUGGAGGAAGCUCGGGCUAAGUUCGUGCCAGCAGCCGCGGUAAGACGAACCGAGCGAACGUUGUUCGGAAUCACUGGGCUUAAAGGGUGCGUAGGCGGGCCGUCAAGUCAGGGGUGAAAGCCUCCAGCUCAACUGGAGAAGUGCCUCUGAUACUGGCGGCCUCGAGGGAGGUAGGGGCGUGCGGAACUUCCGGUGGAGCGGUGAAAUGCGUAGAUAUCGGAAGGAACACCAGUGGCGAAAGCGGCGCGCUGGACCUCUUCUGACGCUGAGGCACGAAAGCCAGGGGAGCAAACGGGAUUAGAUACCCCGGUAGUCCUGGCCCUAAACGAUGGGCACUAGGUUGCGGACUUACAUGGGUUCGCAGCCGAAGCAAAAGUGUUAAGUGCCCCGCCUGGGGAGUAUGGUCGCAAGGCUGAAACUCAAAGGAAUUGACGGGGGCUCACACAAGCGGUGGAGCAUGUGGCUUAAUUCGAGUCUACGCGAAGAACCUUAUCCUGGGCUUGACAUAUGCGAAAGCGCUAGGUGUACCCCGGGGAAACCCGGGGGAACCCCGCAAGGGGGGACCUAGCACAGGUGCUGCAUGGCUGUCGUCAGCUCGUGUCGUGAGAUGUCGGGUUAAGUCCCAUAACGAGCGAAACCCUUGUCUCCAGUUGCCAGCGCUUCGGGCGGGGACUCUGGAGAGACUGCCGGUGUUAAACCGGAGGAAGGUGGGGAUGACGUCAAGUCCUCAUGGCCCUUAUGCCCAGGGCUGCACACGUGCUACAAUGGCGUACACAAAGGGAAGCGAGCACGCGAGUGUCAGCAAAUCCCAAAAAAUACGCCCCAGUUCAGAUCGGAGGCUGCAACUCGCCUCCGUGAAGUUGGAAUCGCUAGUAAUCGCGGGUCAGCAACACCGCGGUGAAUGUGUUCCUGAGCCUUGUACACACCGCCCGUCAAGCCACGAAAGAUCGGGGGGGGCCAAGUCGCCGUGCGAACCGCAAGGACGCAAGCGCCUAACCCUCAACGGUCAAUUGGGACUAAGUCGGAACAAGGU
rnacentral:rRNA from 1 species